GAAAAUAAUCACCAUUACUUGCUUAGCCCGCCCCUUAUGGACCCCAAGUCAAAUGAGGGCGCACUAUACCGUGCUUCGACAGAGUUGACCGCUGCAUUUAAUUUCGUAAUUAUCCCAAUAAAUGUCUUAAGAUAGUUGUCACAAAGUGAUACUUGGUUUUUAAUCGAAAUGACUCUUUAAACUGACAAAACACUAAUUUAUUUUUAGGGGUCUACAAUUUCUGAGUUCGGUUAAACGGAAGUGGUUUAGAGAAACACAAUUUAUUUUCCUCGGGACCGCCACACCCAACUACAUGUAUUUCUAGAAUUAGUUAUUGAACCAUCAAAGAAUGGGGCAGUCAACUCCAGUAGAGUUGUCAUUGGUAAGUGUAUUGGUACUUUGCAUAAAUUUAAGUGUUGAAUAUUCAUUUAGCCAAGUGAAUGCAUUUAUUGAAUUCUUGGGCCUUAGUAUGUAGCAUUGCUGAAAUGUUUUUCUCCGGGUUUAUAAGCAAAACGAGUUUGGAAUGGGGCAGAUUUUGAGAUGAGAUUCCGAGGAGAGGGCAGAGACCAGCCUCGAUGAUUUUGAGAAAUAAUUUGUGAGAAAUUUUUGAUAUGGAGAAGCCAAAGGAGAGGGCUCAGCCAGCCUACGGCAUUAGUAUAUUUUAAGCUUGAGCUAGUAAGAGCCAAGCCGCUGAAACCUUGGACAAGCUAGGAAUCACCCACAUUCCUAGCUUUUGGGGGUUGAGAAUAGUGCAACCUUUGACCAGAGGACCAGAAGCGACAGGGCAGGACCGCAGCGGCGGACAAGUUACGGACCAUCACAGGCGCUACUGAUCAUACCCCAAGAUCCCAAGAUCAAGAUACACCGGGACGGACGCAUCGAGUAUUAAUGAUUGUAUAAAUUGUCGAUAAUUAUUUUGGGGAUUUUGAAGAAGAGACCAAACCUUUGCGUUGAAACGUUGAAAUAUAAAUAAAUUGUACAUAAUAUAAAUAUAA